UGUCUCAGUUCGGAUUGGAGUCUGCAACUCGACUCCAUGAAGCUGGAUUCGCUAGUAAUCGCGCAUCAGCCAUGGCGCGGUGAAUACGUUCCCGGGCCUUGUACACACCGCCCGUCAAGCCAUGGAAGCCGGGAGUGCCUGAAGUGUGCAACCGCAAGGAGCGCCCUAAGGUAAAACUGGUGACUGGGGCUAAGUCGUAACAAGGUAGC
rnacentral:rRNA from 1 species